CCUACGGGAGGCAGCAGUGAGGAAUAUUGGUCAAUGGGCGUAAGCCUGAACCAGCCAAGUCGCGUGAGGGAUGAAGGUUCUAUGGAUGGUAAACCUCUUUUAUAAGGGAAUAAAGUGCGGGACGUGUCCAGUUUUGUAUGUACCUUAUGAAUAAGGAUAGGCUAACUCCGUGCCAGCAGCCGCGGUAAUACGUAGGAUACGAGCGUUACACGGAUUUAUUGGGGUUAAAGGGUGCGUAGGCGGCCUUUUAAGUCAGCGGUGAAAGUCGGUGGCUCAACCAUAGAAUUGCCGUUGAAACUGGGAGGCUUGAGUAUGUUUGAGGCAGGCGGAAUGCGUGGUGUAGCAGUGAAAUGCUUAGAUAUCACGCAGAACCCCGAUUGCGAAGGCAGCCUGCCAGGCCAUGACUGACGCUGAGGCACGAAAGCGUGGGGAUCAAACAGGAUUAGAUACCCUAGUAGUC
rnacentral:rRNA from 1 species